AGGCUUAACACAUGCAAGUCGAGCGCCCCGCAAGGGAAGCGGCAGACGGGUGAGUAACGCGUGGGAAUCUACCCAUCUCUACGGAAUAACUCAGGGAAACUUGUGCUAAUACCGUAUNCGCCCUUCGGGGGAAAGAUUUAUCGGAGAUGGAUGAGCCCGCGUUGGAUUAGCUAGUUGGUGGGGUAAAGGCCUACCAAGGCGACGAUCCAUAGCUGGUCUGAGAGGAUGAUCAGCCACAUUGGGACU
rnacentral:rRNA from 1 species